AUUGAACGCUGGCGGCAGGCUUAACACAUGCAAGUCGAGCGGGGUGAUGGUGUUCGCACUAUCACUUAGCGGCGGACGGGUGAGUAAUGCUUAGGAAUUUGCCUAUUAGUGGGGGACAACAUCUCGACAGGGAUGCUAAUACCGCAUACGUCCUACGGGUGAAAGCAGGGGAUCACUAGUGACCUUGCGCUAAGAGAUGAGGCUAAGGCGGAGUAGCGAGUUGGUGGGGUAAAGGCCUACCAAGGCGACGGUCUGUAGCGGGUCUGAGAGGGUGAUCCGCCACACUGGGACGGGGACACGGCCCAGACUCCUACGGGAGGCAGCAGUGGGGAAUAUUGGACAAUGGGGGGAACCCUGAUCCAGCCAUGCCGCGUGUGUGAAGAAGGCCUUAUGGUUGUAAAGCACUUUAAGCGAGGAGGAGGCUCUUUUGGUUAAUACCCAAGAUGAGUGGACGUUACUCGCAGAAUAAGCACCGGCUAACUCUGUGCCAGCAGCCGCCGUAA
rnacentral:rRNA from 1 species